UGGUGUCAUCUGCCUUGCUGAACUGGG
rnacentral:piRNA from 1 species